rnacentral:rRNA from 1 species
GAGUUUGAUCCUGGCUCAGAUUGAACGCUGGCGGCAGACCUAACACAUGCAAGUCGAGCGGUAGAGAGAAGCUUGCUUCUCUUGAGAGCGGCGGACGGGUGAGUAAUGCCUAGGAAUCUGCCUGGUAGUGGGGGAUAACGCUCGGAAACGGACGCUAAUACCGCAUACGUCCUACGGGAGAAAGCAGGGGACCUUCGGGCCUUGCGCUAUCAGAUGAGCCUAGGUCGGAUUAGCUAGUUGGUGAGGUAAUGGCUCACCAAGGCGACGAUCCGUAACUGGUCUGAGAGGAUGAUCAGUCACACUGGAACUGAGACACGGUCCAGACUCCUACGGGAGGCAGCAGUGGGGAAUAUUGGACAAUGGGCGAAAGCCUGAUCCAGCCAUGCCGCGUGUGUGAAGAAGGUCUUCGGAUUGUAAAGCACUUUAAGUUGGGAGGAGGGGCAGUAAAUUAAUACUUUGCUGUUUGACGUUACCGACAGAAUAAGCACCGGCUAACUCUGUGCCAGCAC